AUUGAACGCUGGCGGCAUGCCUUACACAUGCAAGUCGAACGGCAGCACGGGAGCAAUCCUGGUGGCGAGUGGCGAACGGGUGAGUAAUAUAUCGGAACGUGCCCAGUCGUGGGGGAUAACGUAGCGAAAGCUACGCUAAUACCGCAUACGAUCUACGGAUGAAAGCGGGGGAUCGCAAGACCUCGCGCGAUUGGAGCGGCCGAUAUCAGAUUAGCUAGUUGGUGGGGUAAAGGCCCACCAAGGCGACGAUCUGUAGCUGGUCUGAGAGGACGACCAGCCGCACUGGGACUGAGACACGGCCCAGACUCCUACGGGAGGCAGCAGUGGGGAAUUUUGGACAAUGGGGGCAACCCUGAUCCAGCAAUGCCGCGUGAGUGAAGAAGGCCUCGG
rnacentral:rRNA from 1 species